GGUGGCUUAGUGGUAGAGUACUUGCCUUGCAUGCAUGAGGCCCUGGGUUCGAUUCCUUAGCACCA
rnacentral:tRNA from 1 species